AACAAUAGGAACAAGUGCAGAAAUUUGACAACCCGACUUUGGCUUGCUCUUUGGAAUCGAUUGCAAAAGUUUAAUCAACACUAACGAAAAUUAUGGAUUCCUGAUUGCCGGAAAUGUAUAAUCUACGACAAUUGAUUACUGAUUUAAGACCUAGAAUGGCUCCUUCUCAUCUACAUACUCGGAGCACUAGCCACGCGUGUGGGAUUUCUUAUCGUUUGACGACGACGACGACGACAGCGACGCGACGCUUUGCAGCUUUUAUUUUUGU